AACUGAUACUACCUGCGGGAACCUGCGGAGGGAUCAUUAUUGAAUUAUGUUUCUAAAUGGGUUGUAGCUGGCUCAUCAGAGCAUGUGCACGCCUGUUUGGACUUCAUUUUCAUCCACCUGUGCACCUAUUGUAGUCUUUGGUUGGGUAUCGAGGAGGUGGUCAGCCUAUCAGCACUUGCUGGAUGUGAGGACUUGCAGUGUGAAAGCUUUGCUGUCCUUUACUUGAUCAUGGAGUCGUUU
rnacentral:misc_RNA from 1 species